rnacentral:lncRNA from 1 species
UUGACGACACGGGGCGUUGCGAAACAGUUAGUCUAACAGUUACACAUUGGGCCUUACGCCCAACUAACCCAGCUUACUUACACGCAAGCUCGCAAGGAAUAAGAGGAAAAGGACAAUACAAAGGGACCAAGGAUAAGAUCAGCAAGGAAAGGCACUGCAUAGGUCAUCUAGCUAAUAAUGUGACUCCUGGACAAAGGGCGGCGGUACAUUUUCCAGGCCAACUAGUAAUUCACGUCGAAGGUUUAGGUUCGGUGUCCGCCGAGCUUGCGCAAGGUGGUUUGUGAGAUAAUGGUAGCUCGCUUGUAUCAAUUCGUGCACGACGAUGAACUGUUAACACGUGUCGGAUACCCACGCCUUCAUAUCUUCAUGUAGCAUGUUUAGCCAAUCUGUCUCAGGAACCUUCGAGUGAUGGAUCUUACUCCCUUGCGGACGGGCCAAGUUGCAUUACUGUCUGAAGCUGGCACAGACCCCUGCGCAUGGAACAAAUUUUACAUUGCAAGAACGCCUCGUGGUUAAUUCAGGUUUCAUGGUUGCGUGAUAUGGCGCUCCUUAGGCAAGAAAACAAACCCAAGAUGGUACCUGUUAAGACCUCAGCAGCACGCAACAGGACGGCCCGCCAUCUUCCUGAUCAUGUAUAUGGACCUGUCACCAGACCUGAAAUGCACUUAGCUAAUAUGCCAUUUAGGUUAUAACGGAUUCAGCGAAGCAGUUAACGGCCAAACAACCGAUUUCAGAUUCAUACCUCCGUGGGGCCAACUGGUGCAUCAGCUAUGUGUUUAGGAACAAAUUGAACCAUGAAAAACUUUACAUGUAUAGUUGUGUCGAAUUAUUUGAAAAUGCGAGCUCCAUUAGUUUGCUGCAGCAGCUGCAGUGCCGCCGAU